UACAGAGACCUCAAGCGUUAUCCGGAAUCAUUGGGCGUAAAGCGUACCGAUAGGUUGUUUAUUAAGUCUUGGGUAAAAGCCGGAAGCUCAACUUCCGCGUUUGCUUAAGAUACUAAUAGACUAGAGGGGCAAAGAGGUGCUUGGAACGAAUGGUGUAGUAGUGAAAUGCGUUGAUAUCAUUCGGAACACCGAAAGCGAAGGCAGAGCACUGGGUGCCACCUGACACUGCUAGGACGAAAGCGUGGGGAGCGAAUGGG
rnacentral:rRNA from 1 species